rnacentral:misc_RNA from 1 species
GUGAAUCAUCAAAUCUUUGAACGCACAUUGCGCUUCCUGGCGUUCUGGGAAGUAUGCCUGUUUGAGGGUCAGUAUUAAUAAAAAAUCGGUUUAGUUAUAAAUAGUGACGUUUCCGGGGUUUGGGCUAUUUUAUCAUUUUUGGUUAAGAGGCUUAAUAUUGACCUUUUUUGCGCCUUCUUAACUGUACAUAAAUUUUUUUUAUUCGUCUAUUCUUAAUGCCAAAAUCUUAUUAGAUGCGAUCACAUCGUGUGGCUUCGUGCUCAUACAAUUUUAAUGAU